AACUUGGCACGAAAGAGUGACGGAGGAGGCGAGCCGAGCGCCGUAAGCAAGCGGGUCUGUGCGUGGUGGGAGCAGGAAGCUGUGCCGUGUGGCUCUAGCUAAGUGUGGUCGUUUCUCUCUUUUCUAGGCGUGAAGCAGAGUGGAAAGCUGGGUAUCGGCAGCGCAGCUCCUCUGGCAAGGUGAGCACGGAGCCGUGGUAGGGGCGAGCAGGAGCGUGGGGCCAGGGUUUCGUUCAAAGAGCUACAGUUCUUUGUUUCUCGCCGUCUUAGGCGUCACCAGCGCUGAGGGUUUGUGACCGCGCCCGCGGCACGACGCGCCGACCGGACCGCCCUGGAACUCAGCAGGAGGUGGGUGUCGCGGACGGGGUCGGCGUUUGCCCCGCGACGCCGCGUGCCGGCGCGGCUUAGCGAGCGCGUGCUUUCUCGUGCUCCUGCAGGCGCUGAAGAGGAACCCGGCGACGCGGGAAGACGGCCGUUGGCGCACGUGGCGUUUUCCUCUGCCGAAGAUGGGUUCGGUCCCUCGGCCCUCUGAAAGCUAAGUGGAGGCGCGAGGGCUGGGAAGGGGCCGGAAAUGGCAGGGACGGGGGGUUUAGCUCUGCUAAGGGCAAGGGCCGUCCAGGAACCGCGCCCUUGGCGCGGGUCAAGGGCCCGGCGACCUUUACCGUGCGAUGCCAGCGUGUGCCGGGCAGGGCAGCUCCAGCCUGCGUCUGCGUUGUGGUGUAGUUCGGGAAGCCUGCCUUGCGCCCGUCAGCCGAUCCUGGGGUCUCGUUGCGUUCGAGGGGCACGAAAGGCAUCUCGGGUGCCAUCCCGGCAUCUGGAACGCCGGUGCCGAUUGGGCGCCGGUUUUCUGGUGUCGGCAGCCGAAAGCGUGGCGGGUUCUUGCCUUUCGGCCGGUUCUGUUCAGGGGUGUUUGCGGCGUUGUCCCGGGCUGUGCCGGCAGCCGUGGUCUCUACCCAUCCUGUCUCAGGGACUGGAGCUUCAAGAUGCUGGGAAGAAGUUUUUAGGUCUUGCAGCAGCUUCUCCUUUGGUUGUGCCGUCUCUGCUCGGUCGUGGCGGUGCUGCCAUGUCGUCAGGAGUCGUGACGUUGGGCUCCUUUUCCGUUUGGGGUUGCAGGAGAGGCUCCUCGCCUCGCCGCGGCCUCCCCGUAGAUUAUUGGGAUCAGUGCCCGUCUGGUCUCGGAGCGUCGUGUUCGUCGUGGAGCGUUUUUGGCGCUGUGGCUGUCGCGUGGUCUAUAAGAUUCUGCGGGGCGUCUGUCUGGGCGGGUGCGCGUUUGGCUCGGAGCUGCUCUGCCCGGACGCGUAGAGGCAGGGGAGGGUGGCCGGAGCUCUGGCGGUCCCCGGUUAACCUGCUGACGCGUUGAAUUGCGUGGGCAGAGGCGGUGCGGUCAUCUGGGAUGGAGUAGCCGUGGGCAGGGGAGCGGAGGGUGCCCGCGCAGGCGUUUGAGAGCCUCCACGAGAGCUUGGGACGUUAUUGCACGACAGAAGGCAGACCUGUGGGCUGGUCAAGCUGUUGAUGGGCUGCUGGGUGACUCUCUGAAUAACCUGAUUUCAGGAGCAGAGGGACAACUCGGCCUGGAAGAGCGACGGAGGAGGCGAGCUGUGCGCCGUAAGCAGGUGCGAAGCGAAGAGGAAAGCGGGCUGUCGGCAGCGCAGCUCCUCGGGCCAGGCGGCAGCUGAGCGUCUCGGCGGUCCGCGGCGUGGCAGUCAAAAGCAAGGGCGGCCGGGUGGGCGAGCGGCCCAGGCGCUUUGUGGGCCCUCUGGACCGGGAGGAGCAUUUGCGGCGUCACCAGUGCUGAGGGUUUGUGACCAUGCCAGCGGCAGGACACGCCGACCGGACCGCCCUGGAACUCAGCAGGAGGCGCUGAAGAGGAACCCGGCGACGCGGGAAGAAGGCCGUUGGCGCACGUGGCGUUUUCCUCUGCCGAAGAUGGGUUCGGUCCCUCGGCCCUCUGAAAGCUAAGUGGAGGCGCGAGGGCUGGGAAGGGGCCGGGAAUGGCAGGGACGGGGGGUUUAGCUCUGCUAAGGGCAAGGGCCGUCCAGGAACCGCGCCCUUGGCGCGGGUGAAGGGCCCGGGGACCUUUACUGUGCGCUGCCAUCAUGUGCCGGGCAGGGCAGCUCCAGCCUGCGUCUGCGUUGUGGUGUAGUUCGGGAAGCCUGCCUUGCGCCCGUCAGCCGAUCCUGGGGUCUCGUUGCGUUCGAGGGGCACGAAAGGCCUCUUGGGUGCCAUCCCGGCAUCUGGAACGCCGGUGCCGAUUGGGCGCCAGUUUUCUGGUGUCGGCAGCCGAAAGCGUGGCGAGUUCUUGCCUUUCGGCCGCUUCUGUUCAGGGGUGUUUGCGGCGUUGUCCUGGGCUGUGCCGGCUGCUGUGUUCUCUACCCAUCCAGUCUAAGGGACUGGCACUUCUUCCCAGCAUCUUGAAAUUUUUAGCGUUUGCCGCAGCUUUUUGCGCUGGUGUUGCUCUCUCUGUUUGUUGUGGCGGUGCCAUUUCAUAAGGGACCGUGGAGUUCUGUUCCUUUUUAUUCUGGUGUUGCAGCAGAGGCUCCUUGCCUUCCCACUGCCUCCCUGCAGGUUGUUUUGAUCAAUGCCAUGUCUUUUCUUGGAGUCGUUGAACAUUUUUGGUGCUGUUUCAGUCAUGUGGUCUAUCACGUUCUGUGGAGUCUUGGUUUGCACAUGUGCAUGUUGGGUGGGAGCUGUUGUGCCCAGAGUUGUAGAGUCGGGGUGUGUGGACUGAGCUCUAGGCGUCCACCGUUAAUUUGUUGACAUAUUAAAUUGCGUAGGCAAAGUUUGUACGAUCAUCUGGCACGGAGUUGCGAUGGGUAGGAGGGUGGACAUUCCCUGUACUGGUGUUUUACAGUUCAUACUCAAGACUGUUGUUAACUAAUGUUUUCUGUAGUGUGCUGUUUUUUCAGAGUAUUCUAACUUUUUUUUUUUUUUUAGGUUACCACAUUCUUAAUAUGACUGUAAAUAGUAUCUACAGCUGCACAAAUCAACUACCUGUCUGAGGUCAGUACAAAGGAUCCUCUGAGAAUCAAGAAGACCCCAGAGUCAGCUAUUGCUAUUGGACUGUAUUGUCACUUUUCCAUGUGAGAGAUGGGACCUGAGACACCAAUGUGAUGUUUACUGAGUUCACUUUAUUGUCGGACUUUAUACAAAGCUGCCCUCUCCACGUGCCUUGCAACAAUGUGGUUGUAUCACAUGCUAUACAAUAACGUGAUAGGCUGCAUGCACUGUCCACGCGCUCUGCACACAUGUGUCUGGCGCUUGCUCAUUCACUGUUACCUUCUUAUGGGGCUCCUUUUGUUUCUUUUGUCUCUGGCUUCACCUCUCAGCCAGGCUGGCGACAACCCCAUCCCCCCGGGGCGGGGGGGGGACUCGGCCUCGCUAUCUCCCCCUCGUUAAUAUUUUAUUAAGUAAAAAAUACCAUGUAUUUCACACUGUCUUCAAAGCAUGAUACAGAUUAAGAACAUUAAGGCUAAUAUAAUUACAAUUAACAAGAACAGUUCCAUUUUCAAUAUUCCUUUUAACCAGCAGGGUAUCCAACUCAGAAAACCCAACAUCUUCUGUUAUUUUAAUGUUCAGCAAAUCUUCUAUCUUAUGAAGAGUUUGGUUGUAUGUGUUGUUUGAACUUAAAAUAUAGCUGUGACCACGGCCCAUAACACAAAAUUAAUCGCUUCUGUGUUUUACAAAGUGGUGUGACAAUCUUGAAGCACUGCCCCCCAUGCUUAGCAGAACUAAGACCUUGUUAUGCCUUAAACAUCUGGUUUUUGUUAUGUGGGGAGGAAGAGAGAGAUGACACCUCAUCUUAUCUUUCCCAAAGUUUUAUGGCUAUGAAGGCAGACGCCUUGGAAGAUAAGGACAAUUAACAGUGUUGCCGUGAAAGGUUUCACGGCCUAAUUGGGAUGAUAGAGAUGAACCAUCUGUCGAACAGCCAACUACCAGAAGAGACCACGAACCAACAGCUACCCCUGACGGGCAAGACAUCUCGCUUCUGGUCAGUACCGUGAACUUCUCCUAGUUUGAAGACCCCAGAGCCGUUCCAGAAGAGUCUUCCUAAUUAGCAGGAAGAGGGAGCAGAGGGAGGAGAUGAACCGCCUUCUACUAUCUUGCAUGUAAAUGAACCGGCUUAUUAAACAACCUCACGUACGAUACAGGUCACCAGCAUGUAAAUCUUCAACGCGUCCCCCACUCCAGAGGUCGUCACAGGACGGACGUGCCUGUGGAGUGGUGAUAUCUUACUCUUUGUCUCUCUCUCUCUGCCUUUCUUUUUCUGAUAUCUUAGUUUUCCUCUUCUCUCUCUCUCUCCCUUUUCCUUACAAUGGUAUUUAUAUGUUUAAGUUCUGCUGCUAAAGUGUUGUUAAGUUUCGCAUUACAGUUACUAAUUGUUGCCAAUCCACUGCUUUUAGAAGGGUUUUUGCUGACAAUGUAUUGAUAAGUUUUGUGCUAUUAUAACAUACUUUUGCCAAGUUACUGAUUGCUGUAAUUUGUAUACCACCACGCUGUUCUAGUAAAUUCAUAAUUGGA